UGGGGAAUAUUGCACAAUGGGCGCAAGCCUGAUGCAGCGACGCCGCGUGGAGGACGAAGGUUUUCGAAUUGUAAACUCCUGUUAAGUGGGAAGAAAGACAUAUACCUAAUACGUAUGUGGGAUGACGGUACCACUAGAGAAAGCACCGGCAAACUUCGUGCCAGCAGCCGCGGUAAUACGAAGGGUGCAAGCGUUAUUCGGAAUGACUGGGCGUAAAGAGCGUGAAGGCGGCUUUUUAAGUCAACUGUUAAAUGGCUCGGCUUAACUGAGCAAAUGCGGGUGAAACUGAAAAGCUAGAGUACAGAAGAGAAAGGUAGAAUUCUCGGAGUAGCGGUAAAAUGCGUAGAUCUCGAGAGGAAUACCGGUUGCGAAGGCGGCCUUUUGGUCUGUAACUGACGCU
rnacentral:rRNA from 1 species